UGGGUACACUUCAGCUAAUCGGGCUAAGGUAAAAACAAUGAAAUAAAUAACAGGCCUACAGCAGAAGGCCCAGCAGAAUUAAAAAAGGAAAUGAAAAGACAAAGCAAAAUAUAGAAACCUAAUUCAAAACCUCCAGUCGUCAGAACAGUUGGCCUCCAAAAAAAUAUCCUUUCCCAUCACCAGGUACAGCUGUAAAAUAGCAGAUCUGCAGCAUAUCUUUUACUUUUCUGCUAUGUUCAUCAAAAAAUUAAUUGUUUCUUCAUUCAUUUCAAAGGUCACCCACUUUUCUUCUAUUCAUUUCAAUCUUUGCAGACACUCCUUCUCUUUCAUACUAAAGCUCUGUUUCUUCUUCCAUUUCAAAUAACACCCCCUUUUCUUCUUCAAUAGCAUUUCAAGCAUUACAGGCACUCCUUCUUCCCUUUCGGAUCAAAGCUCUCAGACGUAACUGCUCCAUUUCUCUUCGGAUGGUUUCUGGAAUCCCUCCCUCCAGGUAAAAGUCCUCUCCUUUGUUUAGCGCUUCUUUUGCGAUUAGAUCAACACAUGUAUUUUCAGUCCUUGGGAUAAACUGAAAUUGAAUCUCUUGAAAAUGACUCUUUAUUUCUUGAAUGUAGCUGAUGAAUGCUCUAAUAAUUGAACUGUCCCGGUCUGCACUUUGGCAUUUUUUUAAAACCGUUUUCGAAUCACUUAUUAUGUGUAGAAUAGUAAAACCCAUUUGCUUCCUUAACCUUACAGCUUGUAACCCUGCAUGUGCUUCCGCCGCGAACGGAGACACUACAUUGGAAUGAAGAGCCGAUUUAGAGGCUAAGAUUCUACCCCCACUUCCUUUACAAACCAAACUUGAAGUAGAUUUGGAAGUUUGCUGAUCAUAAGCCGCGUCAAAAUAAAUUUUCACAUUUGCUCUCUGUUCGAUUUGUGGAGUACUCAUUUUUACUUCGAAGCUAAGAGUUCUUUCCUCUAUUCCUUCUAAGUCUGAAAUGUAACUGGUGAUUUGUUUUGCGAUGUCUUAACUGUUAAGCUUUCUUCCUUCAUAUAUUAACUUAUUUCUAUUUGACCAGAUCAUCCAGAGUCCACAGCAAAAAAGUCUACAUUGCUCUUUCGUUCCAUGGUUAAAAACCCAGGUAAGCCAAUCCCAAAAUACUGAGGAAAUGUUGUCAAGUACCCAUUCAAAAUUUAACAGCCUCCAUACUUCUUUUGUUGUAGGGCAAAAUCGGAAAACAUGAUUACCAUCCUCCACUUCUUGCUGACACCUCAGGCACCGAUCUUCCGUGAUCACUCUCUUCAGCUUUAAAUUAGAAAACGAGGGAAUGUAAUUCCACUAAAUCCUCUAUAUUUUAAUUUUUACUUUCGAGGGCAUGUUCAAACUCCAUAAUUUCUUGUAAAAAUUUUUGGUAUCGGUUUGUAUAAAAUUACUAGGGAUCAGUGUAGAUUCUUGUAAUAGUUUAUAGGCACUCCUCACUAAGAAGUUCCCUGAUGGCUCCCCUCUUCACACUUGAAAAUCGUCAUAGAUCGAUUUCGCCAACGGGAUUUGUAGGAUUUUCCUAGCAAUAUUCGCGUCAAAGGUAUUGACAAUCAACUUAUUUUUCCAAGUUCUGUUACCUUCGUCAAUUAAGUCAGACACUAAUUUGAUGUUUUCCUUUCUGCAAUGAUUUUGUAAUCUGUCUUCCUCAUUACUCGACAUCCAAAGAUCAGUCCAUACCGAUAUGCCAUCUACCCUGCCUACUCUCCAACAGAAGCCUUUCUCCAGUAUCCCUUUUGCUGACCAAAUACUUCUCCAGGUAAUUGAAGGUAAGUUUCCCAAUGGAGCAUUUAAAAAAUUUGCAUUCGGAUAGUACUUAGCUUUUAAAACUCGGGCUAACAAAGAAUUUGGAUAAUUAAUAAGAUGCCAACCUUGCUUAGCUAAUAAGGCGAUAUUAAAUUUAUCUAAACUUCGGAAACCAAGACCACCAAAUUCUUUCGGCACACAAAUAUCCUUCUAGGCACACCAAUGAAUCCCUUUUUUCUUUUUAGUUUUUUGCCACCAAAAUUUAGAAAUUAUUCCUUCUAUUUCUGUACAUAGAGACUUAGGAAACAAGAAACACACCAUUGAAUAAGUUGGUAUAGAUUGUAAAACGGCUUUAAUAAAUAUCUCUUUACCACCUUGGGAUAAAUACUUAAUGCUCCAACUAUCAAUUCGUUGUCGUAGUUUAUCUUUCAGAACCUGAAAUGUAGCUUUCUUCUUCCUUCCCACCAUAUUAGGUAAACCUAGAUAUCGUUCAGGAUCAUAAGAACUGCGAACUCCUAGCACUCUGGUUAUUAUUCUUCGGACUUCCUCCUCUGUAUUAGUGCUGAAGAAAAUAGUAGAUUUAGAAAAAUUGAAUCUUUGACUCGAACAAAUUUCGUAUUCAUGUAGAUUCUGUUUCAAACAAGUGGCAUUUUUUUCUGUUGCUGUCCGAAAUAAAAUGCAACCAUUUGCAAAAAGUAGGUGAGAAAUUUGAGGCCCUCUUUUGCUUGCCUUAACUCUUCUCAUUAAUUUUUCGUGUAUCCCUAACUUUAUAAGGCUGGAAAGACCUUCUCAACAAAAUAAGAAUAAGAAUGGACUCAAUGGGUCACCCUGUCUUAAUCCCUUUGAAGGGAAAAAAGGAUCCCCCUUAUUCCCAUUUAAGACAACCGAAUAAGAUACUGUAGUAACACAUUUUAUAAGUAAAGCCACCCAAUUCAAAUCGAACCCUAACUUCAUUAUAUCUUUCACAAAAUUCCAUUCAACCCUAUCAUAGGCUUUGCUCAUAUCUAAUUUUGCUGCUUACAUCCCUUUUCCCCCGCCCUCUUGUGUCUCAAUGUAUGUAGAAGUUCAUAAGCCAGCAAGAUAUUAUCCAAAAUUAGCCUCCCUAGAACAAAAGCGCUUUCGGCCAGAUCUAGCAUUUAUCCAUUACCAAACGAAGACGAUUUGCCAUAACUUUAGCCAAUAAUUUAUAAAUUACAUUACACAAACUAAUUGGCCUAAAUUGAAUUAUAUCCGAUGGAUUUGCAACCUUAGGAAUCAACACAAUAUUUGCUUUAUUAAUUAAGUCGAUCUCCAUGCCUCCAUUCAGGUGAUUGAGAUAAUAAGUUGUGAUGUCUUCCCUGAUAAUUGCCCAGCAAUUUUUAUAAAAUAUCACGAAAAACCAUCUUCUCCUAGUGCUUUUGUGGGGCCCAGUUCUGCCAGUGCUUCUUGGAUCUCUUGCUUUGUAUAAUUCGCAGUGAGCUUUGAGAUAUCCUCAAAAAAUAUGUAUAGAAAUUCCUGAUAAAACGUGCUCAUAAUUUCUCCUUCUCCCAGUCGAAAACAAGUCAUGAAAAAAUGAUCUAACAAUCUCCUCUAUUUCACCUACUUCAUCCGUUUCUCUUUCGUCAUCAUAUUGCAUUUUUUGAAUUUGAUUCCUUUGUCUUUUAUGUGUUUCCUGUUUGUGGAAGAAAGCUGUGUUUUUAUUCCCUAACUUUAACCAAUUAACUCGUGGCCUAUUUUCCCGAUAGCGCUCAUAUUUAUCAAUCUCAAAAUUGAGUUAAAUUCUUGUAUCAAUGAUAGCUGCCAAAUUGUCAUCAUUUCUCUCAGCUUCCAUCAGCUUGCUCAAUUUGGAGGUUAACAUAUUUUCCUUUUCUUUUCUAUUAUAUUGAAUCUGUCUAGCCCACCUUUCCAAGCCCCUAUUUACACUUUCUAACUUAACAAAUCGUCUGUCGCAUUUGCCUAGAUAUUUUUAACUACAAUUAGAAACGAUUCCUCCAGAACCCACCAUGCUUUAAAUUUGAAACUUCUAGACAUACUCCCAACAUCCCUCUUUAUUGUGUUUAUAAGUAAUGGACAAUGAUUUGAGAAUGUAUGAGGGAGGUGUUGAUGCUGAAAUUCCAGAAAAAGAGCAAGCCAUUCCUCAAUUUCUACUCCCCUAUCCUAGUUGUCCAAUCGCUCUUGGAUAUUAGUACCUAGCAGAUUACCCCGUUCCCACGUAAACCAAUUACCCAUAAAACCUACAUCCACUAGAUUGCAGUCCUCCAAAACCUUGUGAAAAACUUUCAUUCUCCCUUCUUCGUGAGGUAAACCUCUUUUUUUUUUCGAAACCAUACAAAAUUUCAUUGAAGUCCUCACAAACCAUCCAGGGAAGCUUUUUAAAAUCACCUAAAUGCAUUAAAAGAUUCCAUGCAUCAUAUCUCUCUUGUGAAUAAAGAGACCCAUAAUACUCAGUAAAUCUCCAUUUACUUCAUUCUUCAACUUCUUUUAUAAUCACAUCAAUAUGUCUCUGCGAAAAACUUCUAAGCUGUAUAUUAUUACCUUCGUGCCAAGCCAAACAUAGCCUUCCUCUAGACCCAUUUGAAUCUACAUCUAUAUCAUGCAGAAAACCACAACUUCUUCGUUCUCGUUCCAUCCGAUUCUUACAAAUCUUCGUCUCCAUGAAGAAGACAACUUGGGGAUUAACUUCAGCACAUGUCGAAGCCUUCGAAAUGUCUGCGGGUUCCUCAAACCCCGGACAUUCUAAUUUAAUAUUUUCAUUGCAACCGGUUGGCGUGCCUCUUGGCAGCUGUCGAUAAUAAAUGACUGACUUCCCUUACCCUCCUAUUUCUUCCCUCCAAAUCAGUUGUCUCCUCACUAGCCAAAAAAUCAUCCAUCACUCCUUUAUUUCUCUUUUUACCCUUUUCUCCUAUCGGCACUCCAUCUUCAAGAUCAUGUUCCAUUAAUGUGUGAAAUUGACCCUCUUUGCUUUUUCCUUUUCACUCCAUAAGUUUGUUAUUCGUUCUUCCAAAUUAAUCCCCAAUGCGGGAUCUAUAUUAUUUGUACUGCGCAUAUUUGGCUCUAAACCCCUCCUAUUACUCCCCAGCUUUUGUCUUUCCUCUUUACGUCCACCCCACUCCCCCUCUCAUUCUUCCUGUAACUACACACUAUUCAUCUUAGAGCUUGGCGAGAUUGUGCCCUCAAAGAUAAAUCCCAUCCAAUCUCAGCAAUUUUUACUCCAAAUUCCAUCUUUGUUUCACAAAAAAGUCGCUAUGGCCUAGUCGUCCACAAUAAAAGCAAAACAGUGACAAUCUUUCAUAUUUAAAUCUAACAUAGGAACAUUUUCCAUAACACAAUUUGGUUUUUCUUUUUUAAAGGCCUUCAAAUUUAAACUUGAACUCUAAUUCUCAUAAAAUUCCUAUUUUCUUUCCCCAAAUUUGAACCAUCAUACUCCAUGAAAGUAUCUAUAAAGUUGCCCAUUUCGACUGCUAGAUUUUCCGAGAAAAAAAUCAGCAGGAACAUCAUGUAAUUGUACCCAAAAAGGAGAAAAAAAUUAAAAGGACUUUCAAAGGAUCCGCCCAUCACUGCAGCUUACGUAGGACCAAUAAAUGAUUAUUAAAAGUCUAUGGCGAACCCUUAAUGACUCUUUCUAGGUCCAUAAUAUGAAAAAAUUGAAAUAAAUAUCUUUUCUUGCCUAGAUCUCGGAUUUGUACCCCUCGAAUUGGAUGCCAUAAAUUUGCCAUUGUGCUCUUCAUAGCCGAGAAAUGGAUCAUGCUUGCUGUCAGAAAACAUCCUAGUUGAUAGUCCCCCACUUCUCCUUCCGUAUUAGAUUCAUCUGGUACUUGUAAAAUCGUUUCUUCCUAUUCAUCUAGCAUUAACCCCGCAAAUUUUGCUUCCAUUCUGUUACGUCAAUUAAAAUUGGCUAAACUAACUUGCCAAAACCAAGAAUAAAAUUAAACCCAAACCUGCCGUCACACCAAAACAAAUAACCAAAAGAAAAACCCUAAAACUGCCAUAGGUAGCAGGCAGAAAUGUGCUUUUUGAAUUUUUUAUUUUCAUUUGAAUAAUUGUAAGAAAUAAUAAUUAUUUGACAUGUUCAUAAUUAUAAAAAAAUAUAAUUAUUGAAGUAUGUUUAAUUAACGAAAUGUAAUUAUAUUUUAAUUUUUUAUUUUAUGUUUGGUGCUAAUAAUUAUAAUUAUACAUCUAUAUAAUUUCAGAUCUAAAAGAAUGCAGCAUAUAGAAUACGAUCAAAUAUAAAACUAACUUACCAUUUGAAUUAUUGAUUAUUUAUCUAGCGAAAUUUCACUAAAAUUUCAAUUAUUCAUGGCUCUUCCUCAAUAUUUAAUAGAAGGAUAAACGCCUGUCAAUAUGCUCGAACUUAUGUUCUCCUGCACUAACAAUAAUGUCAGUAUCAACCAAAUUAAGACUCAACCUAAAACUUUAUUUAUAUUUUCUUUUGGUGAUGAAAAAGAAAUUAUAAAUCAAAGCCUAUUGAGGCAAACCCAAAUCCCCAAACAGGGAUAUUUAAAAAAUGCAAAGACCCUAAUUUUCCGAGUGAGCCAAGUUCCCUGGUUAUCUUCUUUAAGAAUGUGACAAAUAUUCCAAAGACGAAGCUAAUACAAAAGCUUAAGAAUUCUUUUGAUCAUAGUUGAAUUAGACCCUUAUGUACGACUUUCCUUGAUAGUCGUAACCGCUUCCAAGUGAUCUAGUUGGAUCAACACAUUAUCUAAACCUCAAUCAAAUAGGAUGUUUAAUCCAUCCAAAAUAUCCUACAGUAAUCCACUCCCCAUUUAUGUUUCUCACAACUCUUCCUUUAGUCGCUGAACUAUCCUCAAAUCUAACGGAUCCAUUUGUAUUCAAAUAUAAUCGACUUCCAAAUGAAUUAGAGCAAAGGAUACUGGUUAUAAUAAUUACCUAAACAUAUUACACAUAUGAAUAAUUUAAUUACAACACGAAUGACUAAACGCAUACAAAAUGAAAAUAAAGUAUGGCACUGUCUUUUCUUUAUUGAAAAUGGAGUAUGUCAUUACCUAUUUGUCAACACAUUAAAAACAAUUCAAUCAACGUCCUAUUAAACAAAACUCGACUCAAAUCAUUUGGCCCAAAAUGCUUGAAUAACGCCUGCUUAUGCUUGCCAGUGUUCCUUUGAAGUGUAUUUAUAUAAUUUCAUAAUUCCAUCUCUUUCCAAUCAAGUUAUCAACUUGUGUCGUCUAGUGCUCGACAGAAUUAAUUGUUUAUGUAGAAAAGCUUAAUCAUUAUGAACAAUCAUUGAUUUUAUAUAUAUAAACUAAUUGGUAACAUAAAUAAAACCCUCUUUUACGUGUCCAAAUUAUUCUUAUAUAAUGAGAUUUAUGUUACUUUUCAUUCAACCCUAUUUUGAUAUCAUGAUAAAUUUUAGAAUGAGCAUGACACCUCUCAUAUCUAUCAGUGGGCAAUAAACCGGGGGGUUUUUGUUAUAUUUAUCUACCCAAGUUGCUUCCAAUUUUAAUUUAUGCGAGUUUCACUUUAUAUUCGUUUUUUUUAAUAAUUUUAUAGAUUUUAAUUGUAUCUAUUCUUUUUGACACAAUGUUUAAAAUUAUCAAUAGUCUUUCCCUAACUCAUAAAUGGGAGAAUAAUAAGUUUCAGUAUACUCAAAUUCACGUUCUCCUGCAUUAGCAACAAUGCCUAUACCAAAUGAAUUAAAAUUCAAUCGAUCACUUUAUAUUCAUUUUUAUACUCGCAAUGAUAUUUUCUUACUAUUAACUCAUGAAGUUGUAAGUUAAUAAUUUAUUUAUCCAAUUAAAAAAUAUAUAAUUGUGUAAUUAUAAUGAUAUUUGUGAUUCUUAAUAAAAAUUAUUUGAAAGUUUUUGUUACAAUCUUGGUGUAAUCAUUAUUUUCGAUAAUAGUUUCUAUUAAAAUUUGUUAACUUAACAUAUUUAUUUUUCUGUCAAUCAUAUGACACAUUACAUUACAUGAGGGUAGCUUAAUCAACAUCCCAAAUUGACCAAAAUACUUAUGAUUUAAUGAUUGGAUAGGAUUUUUAAGUAAAAAAAUUGUAAAACUUAAUUUCUAAGUAUAAGGAUUAAAUCUCAAAUUUUUUUAAAGUACUGAUACUAACAACAUAUUUUAACCAAAAACAAUUGUCAUCCUAUUCGCACAUAAUUAUAUUCUACAAUAUGUUUUUAC
rnacentral:lncRNA from 1 species